rnacentral:lncRNA from 1 species
AGGGCUUCAUGCGGAAGACCAAGUCCAGGAGAAAACCUAUGCUUGGAAAAAGGCCUUGGCUGGCUUCAACAUGGCCCACUUCAUGAACACACACCUUCUGAUGCCAGAACAAGAGAGAGGACAGCGUCCAGUCAGAAAAAAAUCACAGCAGAGAGAGAAUGGGACUGCUUCUUUUGGCUUCAGUACUGGACUCAAGUGUUUGUGGAAUCAAAGCCUUCCAGCGCCAGGAGACAAAACUGCCUGAACAGCAGCACUGCAGUGACUCUUGGCAACAGCAUCCUGCUACCUACUCUUGGUUUGGAGCCACAUCCAAGUGAUACUACUGGGUUAAAUGAAGAUUAGGAGGAGUGAAAAGCAAUGCAGGCCGUGUGCUGGAAAGUUCUGGAAGGAGGUCCCUGAAGGAUGGCUCAGUGUUGACUUCCAGACAAAUUUAAAGAUUACAUCAGUCAAUGGACAUGUUCUUAGCUGCUUUGUAUCCCACGCUCUGAAGUCCAAUCUGGAGUGCAGCCCCUUGUCUCUACCUGUUGGAGUGCAGCACUGCCAGCGCUGGGAUCAUGUUUUCAUCACGUCCAUGAAAACAACAUCACACAGAGGGGAUUUGCUGAGUAACAACAACCCAUUUCUGUCCUCAUAACAAGGACUAUGUCUGCAUGUGGAUAUUUUUUAUUGGUUGCAGCAGUUAUAUUUUUAUUAGCGCUGCGGCUUUUUAACAGUAAUGGCAAGAUUUUAUAACUCUUCUGAGCCAGAUCAGUAACUGCUGCCCCUGAAGAGCAGCCCUUACUUUACCCUCUUCCUUCUCUACUUCCAUAUUCCUCUGCCCCCGCUCAAUUCUCCU